GUCGGCGAAGGGAGAAGAUUUUAGGGUGGGGGGAGAGGAGGCUUGUUUGCAGCAGGUCGUAAGUGAGGGGCGAGGCCGCGCGACAGCCGCUGGAGGGCCACGGAGGAGGCGGCGCAGCGCGGCCCGGCCCCGCCCGCCCGCCAUGAGGCCACAGCAGGCGCCCGUGUCCGGCAAGGUCUUCAUCCAGCGGGACUACAGCAGCGGUACCCGGUGCCAGUUCCAGACCAAGUUCCCCGCCGAGUUGGAAAACCGGAUUGACCGGCAGCAGUUUGAAGAAACAGUUCGUACUCUAAAUAACCUUUAUGCUGAAGCAGAAAAACUUGGGGGCCAGUCUUACCUUGAAGGCUGUUUAGCCUGUUUGACAGCAUAUACUAUCUUUUUGUGCAUGGAAACACAUUAUGAGAAGGUUCUGAAGAAAAUCACCAAAUAUAUUCAGGAACAGAAUGAGAAGAUUUAUGCUCCACAAGGCCUCCUUCUGACAGACCCAAUUGAGAGAGGACUUCGUGUUAUUGAAAUUACCAUUUAUGAAGACAGAGGCAUGAGCAGUGGAAGAUAAACCAUGGAGUCUAAGAUUAUUUUUAUAUAUUAGACUAGCCUCCUCACAUGACUGCUCAGGCCCUGCCAUCAAUCAGUUCACAUAGAAAUAGUCUGUCUCAGAAUGGGACUCUCUUCUGUCCACUGGCCAACUGCAGAGUGUCCCCUACCUCCUCUCCAAGCAUCAUUCCUUUGUAUCUGCUGCCAGAGCCAUGGUGCCAUUCUACUCCAAGGACUAACUUUCUAAAAUUCCGCUCCUGGAGUGACAUCUAGUCACUCAGCAUCCACUUUGUGUCUUUAAACUGUGUAGGACUAUGUAAUCUUUGUAGUUAUUUCUGAGAAACUAUAAUGAAGCAUUUCACUUUUUUAAUUCAAAACAGUUUAAUGAGCUGUGUAAAUCAGCCCAAUCCAAAAUCCAUUUCUCAUCUGCCACCAGGACGAUUGGUUCUGCUCAGUAUUUAUGCUGUCAUCUCUACCAGGUGGUUGUUUUUUUUUUUUUUUAAUUUCAGCAAGUUAUAGCCAGGUUUGGUUUCAUUUCCCCUGAAUUGAAGAAUGUUUUUUUCUUCUGGGCAUGAUUUUUGAUGAGGGGUAAACUAUGCCUGUGGCCUGCUGACACAUCUCCUAGACCUCAAGAAACUCACAGGAUUACCAGAAGAUCUGUUUCUACUGUUAGUUUCUCAUACUGAAGCUCAUUGGAAAGAUAAUGUAUAAUGCUAUUUGUUUUUAAUGUAGCACUUAAUACUAAGUGAACCAGUAUUUUAUGUGAUUUCCAGUUACCUUGAUUCUCCUUGGAGAAUUUUAUAUCAUUACUGCAUUGCCAUGAACAUUGGGAGGAUGUAGUAUGUGUUGCUUGUUUUAUUAAAACUAUGUAAGCACAAUAAAGUGGAUGCUAAACCAUCAGACCUAUAGACAUCCUUGCUCUGUCCCUUAAUGUGUAAUAAGCAAGUGUAAUGAACAUUUUCCUUAUGGCUUUAUUAUAAAUAUAACUUAUGAGGAAAAUAAUUUGGUAGGAAUAAUACUGUAUGUGCUCAUUUUUAACUAUUUCCAUUGGCAGAAUUUAUGAAUCAUAAGCCUUUCUAGAAUUCAGUAUUCAGGAUGCACAUAGGUCUUUUAAUUAGUUCAGGUAAAAUAAUAUGAAUGUUUUCUGAGUAAAACUCCCAAAAAUCCAAGUCAUUAUUUUUGUUUUUCUCUUACCUACAUUUUUCAUGACAGUGUUUUCCAAGACUUUAAAAUUAAGUUUAUCAUUAUGGUUUGAGAGCAUUGUUCUUUGGAAAGAGCUAAGGGAUUUACUAGAAAAGAAUUAAAGAAUUAAAGUUCUACUUCCAGUGAUAUUGUAGGUGCUAAUACUGGAUCUAAUCUUCCAGAUUUAAUUUCUGUUAUGGAUUUGUUAGUCAUUCUCCUAAAUCCCAGAGGCUUGUUUAAUAUUUUAAUUGUAUAAAACCUUUUUUGUUUUUCUAUAGCCUGUAACAGUAUGUCUGUCUGCCUUUCACACUCAUUGCAAUAACUUUGCCCAACUACUAAUGCAUUAGUAAAACUUUUCUUAAAUAAA